rnacentral:rRNA from 1 species
AUUGAACGCUGGCGGCAUGCUUUACACAUGCAAGUCGAACGGCAGCGCGGGGCAACCUGGCGGCGAGUGGCGAACGGGUGAGUAAUAUAUCGGAACGUACCCAAGAGUGGGGGAUAACGUAGCGAAAGUUACGCUAAUACCGCAUACGAUCUAAGGAUGAAAGUGGGGGAUCUUCGGACCUCAUGCUCCUGGAGCGGCCGAUAUCUGAUUAGCUAGUUGGUAGGGUAAAGGCCUACCAAGGCUACGAUCAGUAGCUGGUCUGAGAGGACGACCAGCCACACUGGAACUGAGACACGGUCCAGACUCCUACGGGAGGCAGCAGUGGGGAAUUUUGGACAAUGGGCGCAAGCCUGAUCCAGCAAUGCCGCGUGAGUGAAGAAGGCCUUCGGGUUGUAAAGCUCUUUUGUCAGGGAAGAAACGGCUGAGGUUAAUACCUUUGGCUAAUGACGGUACCUGAAGAAUAAGCACCGGCUAACUACGUG